AUUGAACGCUGGCGGCAUGCCUUACACAUGCAAGUCGAACGGUAACAGGUCUUCGGAUGCUGCCGAGUGGCGAACGGGUGAGUAAUGCAUCGGAACGUGCCCAGUAGUGGGGGAUAGCCCGACGAAAGCCGGAUUAAUACCGCAUACGACCUGAGGGGGAAAGGGGGGGAUCGCAAGACCUCGCGCUAUUGGAGCGGCCGAUGUCAGAUUAGCUAGUGGGUGGGGUAAAGGCCUACCAAGGCAACGAUCUGUAGUUGGUCUGAGAGGACGAGCAGCCACACUGGGACUGAGACACGGCCCAGACUCCUACGGGAGGCAGCAGUGGGGAAUUUUGGACAAUGGGCGCAAGCCUGAUCCAGCAAUGCCGCGUGCAGGAAGAAGGCCUUCGGGUUGUAAACUGCUUUUGUCAGGGAAGAAAUCUUCUGGGUUAAUACCUCGGGAGGAUGACGGUACCUGAAGAAUAAGCACCGGCUAACUACGUGCCAGCCGCCGCGGUAAAAC
rnacentral:rRNA from 1 species